UGGGUUGUGUGGCGGCAG
rnacentral:misc_RNA from 1 species